GACGAACGCUGGCGGCGUGCUUAACACAUGCAAGUCGAACGGAAAGGCCCUGCUUUUGUGGGGUGCUCGAGUGGCGAACGGGUGAGUAACACGUGAGUAACCUGCCCUUGACUUUGGGAUAACUUCAGGAAACUGGGGCUAAUACCGGAUAGGAGCUCCUGCUGCAUGGUGGGGGUUGGAAAGUUUCGGCGGUUGGGGAUGGACUCGCGGCUUAUCAGCUUGUUGGUGGGGUAGUGGCUUACCAAGGCUUUGACGGGUAGCCGGCCUGGGAGGGUGACCGGCCACAUUGGGACAGAGAUACGGCCCAGACUCCUACGGGAGGCAGCAGUGGGGAAUAUUGCAAAAUGGGCGGAGGCCUGAUGCAGCAACGCCGCGUGCGGGAUGACGGCCUUCGGGUUGUAAACCGCUUUCGCCUGUGACGAAGCGUGAGUGACGGUACUGGGUAAAGAAGCACCGGCUAAUUCCGU
rnacentral:rRNA from 1 species